rnacentral:rRNA from 1 species
UACGUAGGUGGCAAGCGUUGUCCGGAUUUACUGGGCGUAAAGAGCGUGUAGGCGGCUUGGUAGGUCCGCUGUGAAAACUCGAGGCUCAACCUCGAGAUGUCGGCGGAAACCACUUGGCUAGAGUCCGGAAGAGGCGAGUGGAAUUCCCGGUGUAGCGGUGAAAUGCGCAGAUAUCGGGAGGAACACCAAUGGCGAAGGCAGCUCGCUGGGACGGUACUGACGCUGAGGCGCGAAAGCGUGGGGAGCAACAGG